GUGAACGCUGGCGGUAGGCCUAACACAUGCAAGUCGAACGGCGGCACAGUAAGAGCUUGCUCUUACGGGUGGCGAGUGGCGGACGGGUGAGGAAUACAUCGGAAUCUACUUUUUCGUGGGGGAUAACGUAGGGAAACUUACGCUAAUACCGCAUACGACCUACGGGUGAAAGCAGGGGACCUUCGGACCUUGCGCGAUUGAAUGAGCCGAUGUCGGAUUAGCUAGUUGGCGGGGUAAAGGCCCACCAAGGCGACGAUCCGUAGCUGGUCUGAGAGGAUGAUCAGCCACACUGGAACUGAGACAUGGUCCAGACUCCUACGGGAGGCAGCAGUGGGGAAUAUUGGACAAUGGGCGCAAGCCUGAUCCAGCCAUACCGCGUGGGUGAAGAAGGCCUUCGGGUUGUAAAGCCCUUUUGUUGGGAAAGAAAAGCAGCAGGUUAAUACCCCGCUGUUCUGACGGUACCCAAAGAAUAAGCACCGGCUAACUUCGUG
rnacentral:rRNA from 1 species